GCCGGCCGGCGCGUUUGUCAGUUUAAAUCCGACUCUACGAAAACUUCGGGAUCGUAUCGGAAAAGGAAACCAUGUAUUGUGAAUUAACAAUUGCGAUUGGACCAAUGUAUUAUUUAUAAGAGACUCGGGACCAAGUACCGGCAUUCAGGAUAUCUCCUGAAGUCACCCGCAGAUUGUAAUGUCUUGGCGUGAUGCAACUUGUAAUGGUCAACUUCCUCAUCAUGUUUGACGUCGUGUUUGUAUUCUUCUUGUUCCUCAUCGCUGUGACAUGUAUCAUGAAUUAUAUGCCGGGGAGGAAGAGACAGGAAGUGACGCAAGAGGAAGUGGAAAGUGACGUCAUUCCUCCCCCGCCGCUGUUCGCUGGUGAUGAUUACCAAAAGGAGAGAGAUACGUAUGUUGUUAUAUCACCACCGCUUGAAAAUGAUAGGAAGGAUGGGUGUCCAAUUCACGUUGUUUAAUAAAAGUGGAAAAUCAUCGUAGGAGUUUUAAAAAGCCUUAUGUAACUACAAAUAUUAGACAUUUUAGGUACUAAGAUGGGGUUUAUUUUAACGCAUUUAUAGGUAGAUGUUUUAUAGGUCCGAUACAAUUAGUAAAACUUAUUGAAUUUAUACAUUAGGUCCAAGACGAGACAAGAGGGAAUCAAGGCCUGUUGGGAAUAAAGAGAGCUGUAGAAAUUUCUAGGUAGUAUGCAUAUAAUAUUGUAACUGAUGUUUGUAUAUAGAAAAUAUUUAAGUAUUUUAUAACCAAUGGAAUUGUUUUAAUUUUGGCUUGUCUCUACGUGCAUUACUCUUAGGCUAGAAAAAUCGGGUUUUAUUACUAUAGUUCUAUCUUGGUAGUAUAAGAUUACAUUUAUAAGGCGUAAAAGCCUAUAUGCAUACUGUAAAAUUAAUCUCAAUAAAUCGAUAGUGAUUGACAUAUGAAUUGCUGUAGAAGCAACGAUCUAGCCUGCUACCAAAGAACGUAAUAAUAAGAAGCGUAGAAAUUGUACCGUUUUCUUUAUAGGCACAGAUAAUAUUGUAAACUGGAGAUAGGUUCAUGUACACUGUUAAGUUCAAAGUAUUUAUCGCUAAACUAUAGUGGCCAUUGGUUAACAAGAACAAUGUAAACAAGAUCAUUGGCCACUCCUGUGUUAUAAUUAUAAUGACAAAUGUGGCUGAAUUAAAAAUAGUGUGUGCCUAAAAUUUCGUGCCUAUUGCUUGCUUUGUUUGCAAGCUAUGAAGGCCUUCUUUAGCCUAAUGAAUCAUGUAUAAUUUAUUAUAGAAAAUUGUGGUAAUUUGGCAAUUUUUGUUAUGCAAUUUGUGGCCUAAUUCUUUUUAUAUGAUAUGGUUCCAAAUUGAAAUUACGUCCCUAAUUGAAUGGCGAUCACAAACCCCGAUGCUGUGGUAUCCACAGCCUACAUAUAUAGUAGAAUUAAUUGGGACGGCCUUGCGUCAAACUUCAGACCCAGUGUCGCCGCGAUGAUUACCGCUAUUUCUAUUUGUUAUCUAUAUACAUUUUGUACUUGCACUUUUCAUUUCCACACUUAUUACUACUCUGUGGUGUUCUUUUUUAUUGAUUUUGCUUUAUUGCUAGCACGUGGAUAUUUUUUACAAACAAAUGAACAAUAAUUUAGUUACCUUAAACAAAUAGAUAGAAUUUAGACUAGUGAUUAAAAUAAUGAAAUGACAAUACAAUACAUAUUAUACGAAUAUAUAAAUAUCAUAUCCUUCAGCAAUGAAACUAUGUAAUCAUCGUUCUCAUAUUUAAUGUAAUGUUAUGUUUGUAUAGUAUUUGUUAUAAGUCUAUCGGUCUUAUAAUUUAAUUGUAUUCACAUCGGCGCGUAUUUUAGCACGAUUAUGGUCUGUAAAAGCCAUAUACGAACUACAUACUGUAUGUACUUUACAUACAAACAUAAUUUGAUAAGUGAUCUGGGCAGUUUCUUCCAACUCAAACGAAAUUUCUACGCAGUAUACUUUACUAAAUCGAAGCGCUGGACAGAAACCGGUGGAAGCAGAUAGUCCACUCAAGAUGUUUCGUUGCUGACCAUGAGCUGCCGACUAAAGAGAGAGAGAGAGAUACUUAACUACAUUACUACACGAAUGCUAUUCAAAUGACGUACGUUAUAUUAGUUGGAAGAAACGGUGGAACGGUGGUCAUUACUAUUCUAUGACUUUAACUAUUCGAUUGUUCGUGUAGAGAAUGUAAUGAGCCAUUUUGCGUGUUGGCAACUAUAAUAUAUUUUAUUACCAGUAAUGAUUGACGACACACGAGUUAAUUGAAUUAUGUAAAUUCAUUAUUUAUAUGUAUUUUCAGUUAAACAUAUGAACUUAGGUAAAAGUUAUUAUAAAUUCACAAUAAUAUAGCUGUAUCUUGUAGAUAGAUUAGAAAGAAUUAAAAUCUAACUUAAUCUAUGUGAUAUAUAUACACAAUUUUUAAUGCGUAGUAUAAUUAACGUUUUCAAUUGUUAUACGAGUGAAAAAUGGCGGUUUGGAUGUAUGGUUACUCUUAUUUUUAACAAAUAGAUGUUUUCAUAGGUAAUUGUAUUGUUGUAACUUCAUAUGAGAUAUUUUACGCCGUACCAGACUUUUCUUAAUCCAAAGAAUAUGUAAUCUUGGAAGUGAAACUAUAUCACCUUAUGCAUAGGAUAUACCACAUUGUCCAACAAAUGACAACACUAUCGAGGCGGAACGCUUUACAUUUGUUUUGUUUACAGAAACAUAUAGAAUGCUUCCGUAAACGUCUAUUGUUUUGAAUUGUGUGAUUUUAUCCAUUCAUUUAUUUAAACACUUAAGUUAAAUGCAUCGUUUACUGGUUUAAAGAAUGUAAUACAUUUCAUUAUAACUUAAAUAA